rnacentral:rRNA from 1 species
UACGUAGGGUGCAAGCGUUGUCCGGAAUUAUUGGGCGUAAAGAGCUCGUAGGCGGUCUGUCGCGUCGGCUGUGAAAAACCCGGAGCUCAACUCCGGGCCUGCAGUCGAUACGGGCGGACUAGAGUUCGGCAGGGGAGACUGGAAUUCCUGGUGUAGCGGUGAAAUGCGCAGAUAUCAGGAGGAACACCGGUGGCGAAGGCGGGUCUCUGGGCCGAUACUGACGCUGAGGAGCGAAAGCGUGGGGAGCGAACAGG